rnacentral:ncRNA from 1 species
GUGCGAGGACGACCUCGCGUUUCCCCAAAACAGGCCGGGACGACCCGC